rnacentral:rRNA from 1 species
UGACGCUGGCGGCAGGCUAACACCUGCAGUCUUAACGGUAACAGGAUGUGCUUGCACAUCGCUGACGAGUGGCGGACGGGUGAGUAAUGCUUAGGGAUCUGCCUCUGUGUGGGGGAUAACUAUUGGAAACGAUAGCUAAUACCGCAUAAUGUUUACGGACCAAAGGGGGCGUUUGCUCCCGCGCAGAGAGGAACCUAAGUGAGAUUAGCUAGUUGGUAAGGUAAUGGCUUACCAAGGCGACGAUCUCUAGCUGUUCUGAGAGGAAGAUCAGCCACACUGGGACUGAGACACGGCCCAGACUCCUACGGGAGGCAGCAGUGGGGAACUAUUGCACAAUGGGGGGAACCCUGAUGCAGCCAUGCCGCGUGUGUGAAGAAGGCCUUCGGGUUGUAAAGCACUUUCAGUUGUGAGGAAACGGUUAGUAGUUAAUACCUGCUAGCU